GACGAACGCUGGCGGCGUGCCUAAUACAUGCAAGUCGAACGAGAGUGACCGGUGCUUGCACUGGUCAAUCUAGUGGCGAACGGGUGAGUAACACGUGGGUAACCUGCCCAUCAGAGGGGGAUAACAUUCGGAAACGGAUGCUAAAACCGCAUAGGUCCUUUAACCGCAUGGUUGAAGGAGGAAAAGAGGCGCAAGCUUCUGCUGAUGGAUGGACCCGCGGUGCAUUAGCUAGUUGGUGAGGUAACGGCUCACCAAGGCCGUGAUGCAUAGCCGACCUGAGAGGGUGAUCGGCCACAUUGGGACUGAGACACGGCCCAAACUCCUACGGGAGGCAGCAGUAGGGAAUCUUCCGCAAUGGACGCAAGUCUGACGGAGCAACGCCGCGUGAGUGAAGAAGGUUUUCGGAUCGUAAAACUCUGUUGUUAGAGAAGAACAAGUGCUAGAGUAACUGUUAGCGCCUUGACGGUAUCUAACCAGAAAGCCACGGCUAACUACGUGCCAGCAGCCGCGGUAAUACGUAGGUGGCAAGCGUUGUCCGGAUUUAUUGGGCGUAAAGCGAGCGCAGGCGGUUCCUUAAGUCUGAUGUGAAAGCCCCCGGCUCAACCGGGGAGGGUCAUUGGAAACUGGGGAACUUGAGUGCAGAAGAGGAGAGUGGAAUUCCAUGUGUAGCGGUGAAAUGCGUAGAUAUAUGGAGGAACACCAGUGGCGAAGGCGACUCUCUGGUCUGUAACUGACGCUGAGGCUCGAAAGCGUGGGUAGCAAACAGG
rnacentral:rRNA from 1 species